rnacentral:misc_RNA from 1 species
UUUAGUAUUGCGACCAGCAUACAGUUGCGGUGCUCACCUGAUUUUUUUUUCUACCGCAUCAUAUUGUUGCUUUGCAUCAAAAAAUGGCGUCCUGCCGCACUGGCCGGCUUCCCAUGCCGGAUGAUCCGCUGUUCAACUCGACGCACAUGCACGGUCUGCGCCACAGCAGCCGUCUUGCUGGCCUUGGCAUGAUUGCCGUGAUUUGGAUUAUGUACGAGAAGCUGCGCCACUCGCACCACUAUAUCACUUACAAGGGCCCGGAGAACCCGUUCGCGCGCAUUCGUCAUCGCCGUUUCCCUGGUGGUGCGUUCAUGUUCGGCUGGGGUAACAACGGCUUGAAUCGGGAUUGUGGUAUCAAGGAAUUUGAGUGCUGGGCCGGUUACACUGGUAAGGAGUACACGUACUAACUUCAUGUCUCCUCGGUGUGUACUGUUCAACUCGUGUAUAACAUUCUUUUGUUUUUUUUUUUUGGUCUAGGACUUGUAGUUAGGCCUAGUAGCACUGGAAUGUGUUGCUGGAGUUCAUCAAAGAAACGGAAAGUAUGCUUUUGUCUAGUUUUGUGCUGAUUUACGUGUUUGUUUAUGAAGCAGAGAAAAAUACAGAAGAAACUCGUAGUCCUUUCGUAUGCGUAAAUCUACAUGUCGGCGCCUGUCGACUGUAGCCGCUUGAUACAAGGUUGCUUUUCAGCAGAAUAUGAGGGAAAAGACAGAGCACGCUCUGUUUGUUUUCAGGACUCACACAGUCACGCGCGCGCACACACACACACUAUGAAAGGUCAUGCAUAGUCGCGUUAGUGGAGGAGGAUCGACGCUACUUGGCAGCUGAUCUGGUGCGUGGAAGUUAUUUUUGCUCGAAUUUCUUCCGCUACUAUUUCCGGUCUCGCUCUCUGCUUGGUUCUCCCCGUUUCUCCUCAUCUGAAAAUAUUCCAUUACCGGAACCUGUGCCCCCCGACUUGUGCACGGCUUGCUUUUAG